GACGAACGCUGGCGGCGUGCUUAACACAUGCAAGUCGAACGGAAAGGCCCUGCUUGCAGGGUACUCGAGUGGCGAACGGGUGAGUAACACGUGGGUGAUCUGCCCUGCACUUCGGGAUAAGCCUGGGAAACUGGGUCUAAUACCGGAUAGGAGCCAUUUUUAGUGUGAUGGUUGGAAAGUUUUUUCGGUGUAGGAUGAGCUCGCGGCCUAUCAGCUUGUUGGUGGGGUAAUGGCCUACCAAGGCGGCGACGGGUAGCCGGCCUGGGAGGGUGGACGGCCACAUUGGGACUGAGAAACGGCCCAGACUCCUACGGGAGGCAGCAGUGGGGAAUAUUGCACAAUGGGCGCAAGCCUGAUGCGGCGACGCCGCGUGGGGGAUGACGGCCUUCGGGUUGUAAACUCCUUUCGCUAGGGACGAAGCUUUUUGUGACGGUACCUAGAUAAGAAGCACCGGCUAACUACGUG
rnacentral:rRNA from 1 species